UACAGAGGGGGCAAGCGUUGUUCGGAAUUACUGGGCGUAAAGGGCGCGUAGGCGGCCUGCUAAGUCGAACGUGAAAUCCCCGGGCUCAACCCGGGAACUGCGUCCGAUACUGGCAGGCUUGAAUCCGGGAGAGGUGAGUGGAACUGCGAGUGUAGAGGUGAAAUUCGUAGAUAUUCGCAAGAACACCAGUGGCGAAGGCGGCUCACUGGCCCGGUACUGACGCUGAGGUGCGAAAGCGUGGGGAGCAACAGG
rnacentral:rRNA from 1 species